AGGGUUUGGAAUCAUGGGCUCAGGAUGAACGCUAGCGGCAGGCCUAAUACAUGCAAGUCGAACGGUAACAUGAGAGCUUGCUCUUGAUGACGAGUGGCGCACGGGUGCGUAACGCGUAUGCAACCUACCCUUUACUGGGGGAUAGCCCGGAGAAAUCCGGAUUAAUACCCCAUGGUACUGUAAUGUAGCAUUACAUAGCAGUUAAAGAUUUAUUGGUAAAGGAUGGGCAUGCGUGACAUUAGUUAGUUGGUAAGGUAACGGCUUACCAAGACGAUGAUGUCUAGGGGUUCUGAGAGGAAGGUCCCCCACACUGGUACUGAGACACGGACCAGACUCCUACGGGAAGGCAGCAGUAGGGAAUAUUGGUCAAUGGACGCAAGUCUGAACCAGCCAUGCCGCGUGCAGGAUGACAGCUUUC
rnacentral:rRNA from 1 species